AACCGGUUCAGGGCAUUAGCUAGCUCAGAGACUUGGAGUUGAAGCAGGAGACCACCCAGAAAACCACAGAGUCUGGCAGGAUCCCAGGGAUUACAGGCAAUGAUUAAUAACUCCUUCACCACGUGAGCAAUGCUCUGUUGCUGAUGGGGGCAGGAAAACACAAGGCACUGAACAUGCUAUAUACUACUAGAAGUACCGUGGCCAAGUCAGUGGGACCAUAGCAUGGGGAUGCCCAGCGCUGGUUCUGUAUGAGACCUGUACCCCAGCUGUUAAUAGCUCUGGCAAGAAAAUCCCAUUCUGACAGCCCAUCUGGCUGUUUUAUCAGGUAGAAGUGUAGUCUCAGAAUAAAACACUCAGGCAUUUAUAGAAUCAGAAGUUGCAUCCAAGCAUUUUCUUCCAGUGGGAGCAGAUCCUUCCACCUGAACCAGGCCUUUCAGACUUCCCUUCUUUCCCCAAAACAUGGUAUAAGGAGCCCCUGAAUGUUUCCCUCAGUAAUGUUCUCCAAAAUCUUCAUAGCAUUAACCAUCCAUUUGUAUAGUGUUUGUCAUUCAACCCCAAAAGUUAGAGACAAUGGCUUCUGUAAAUGGUGUGACUUCAGUGAAUAGCUGGGACGUGGAUUCAGCACAAAUUAUCACAACAACUAUCAAGUAUGCGGGUUGUCUUCAACAACCUUCAGAUUUUUUCUGCCCCAAGAUAAAUUUUUAUCAUGUAGCAUGAAUCAGUUGCAUCCUUAAAUAAGUAAGCAAACCCACAAAAUCUGAGUCAUUGCUCUUUCUUUUCAGUCAUCUGCCUAUAAGGCCAAUACGUGUGAGGAAAGGGUCUGCCCUGAUCACCUGCUGUGCAAGGGAAGAGCUAGCUCUUCUAGAAGUUAGGAACCAAUGCCUUUGUCUCUGCUGAGAGCUGUACACACUGGCCUGAGCACUAGAAGAAUUAAAACCAUUAUGUGACAAAAACGCUGUUUCACCACCCAGGUACGUACCAGUUACAAUUUACGAAAGCCAAUCUUGUUUCCCUCUACAUAAAAUACGAAUUGUUAGGACUUCUGAAUGCAAGCCAAUAGUGCUGUAAUGGUGGUAGCAAUGCUGAUGCCUAUGGAAAAAACCAGUACCAUCCUAUGCUGACAUUGCUGUCUCUUAUCUGACUCUGAAGGAUGAGUCAGGCCAAGCUCCAACAAGCCGUAAUACCCAUCAUUACUCUUAUCUGGAAAUGGUGUUGAGGAGUGACUGUCAAAUAUCCUGUUGCACUCACAGUCCCUGUUCCACAUCAGCUUUCUUAAAGCAAACCACUUUGUAUCAUACUUAAAUUCUCUAUUUUGAGUUAUGUGACUGAAUGCUAAUUUUCCAGUAAG